rnacentral:sRNA from 1 species
CUUUUACUGUGCCAUGGCAGGCAGUCUCGGCUUGGGCCCUCAUGGCCACACAGACCUUCUACUCCACAGGCCACCAGCCUGUCUUUCCAGCCAUCCAUUGGCAUGCAGCCUUUGUGGGAUUCCCAGAGGGUCAUGGCUCCUGUACUUGGCUGCCUGCUUUGCUAGUGGGAGCCAACACCUUUGCCUCCCACCUCCUCUUUGCAGAUUCUGGCCUGUGCCUUGGCAGCCUCCAUCCUUCGCAGGCAUCUCAUGGUCUGGAAAGUGUUUGCCCCUAAGUUCAUAUUUGAGGCUGUGGGCUUCAUUGUGAGCAGCGUGGGACUUCUCCUGGGCAUAGCUUUGGUGAUGAGAGUGGAUGGUGCUGUGAGCUCCUGGUUCAGGCAGCUAUUUCUGGCCCAGCAGAGGUAGCCUAGUCUGUGAUUACUGGCACUUGGCUACAGAGAGUGCUGGAGAACCCAGUGUAGCCUGGCCUGUACAGGUACUGGAUGAUCUGCAAGACAGGCUCAGCCAUACCUCUUACUACCAUGCAGCCAGGGGCCGCUGACUUCUAGGACUUCAUUAUUCUAUAAUUCAGGACCACAGUGGAAUAUGAUCCCUAACUCCUGAUUUGGAUGCAUCUGAGGGACAAGGGGGGCGGUCUCCGAAGUGGAAUAAAAUAGGCCGGGCGUGGCCUAUAAUCCCAGCACUUUGGGAGGCAGAGGCGGGAGGAUUGCUUGGUCCCAGGAGUUCAAGACCAGCCUGUGGAACAUAACAAGACCC